rnacentral:rRNA from 1 species
GACGAACGCUGGCGGCGUGCCUAAUACAUGCAAGUCGAACGCUUCUUUCCUCCCGAGUGCUUGCCCUCCAUUGGAAAGAGGAGUGGCGGACGGGUGAGUAACACGUGGGUAACCUACCCAUCAGAGGGGGAUGACACUUGGAAACAGGUGCUAAUACCGCAUAACAGUUUAUGCCGCAUGGCAUAAGAGUGAAAGGCGCUUUCGGGUGUCGCUGAUGGAUGGACCCGCGGUGCAUUAGCUAGUUGGUGAGGUAACGGCUCACCAAGGCCACGAUGCAUAGCCGACCUGAGAGGGUGAUCGGCCACACUGGGACUGAGACACGGCCCAGACUCCUACGGGAGGCAGCAGUAGGGAAUCUUCGGCAAUGGACGAAAGUCUGACCGAGCAACGCCGCGUGAGUGAAGAAGGUUUUCGGAUCGUAAAACUCUGUUGUUAGAGAAGAACAAGGACGUUAGUAACUGAACGUCCCCUGACGGUAUCUAACCAGAAAGCCACGGCUAACUACGUG